rnacentral:rRNA from 6 species
AGACCCGAAACCCGGUGAUCUAGCCAUGGGCAGGUUGAAGGUUGGGUAACACUAACUGGAGGACCGAACCGACUAAUGUUGAAAAAUUAGCGGAUGACCUGUGGCUGGGGGUGAAAGGCCAAUCAAACCGGGAGAUAGCUGGUUCUCCCCGAAAGCUAUUUAGGUAGCGCCUCGUGAAUUCAUCUCCGGGGGUAGAGCACUGUUUCGGCUAGGGGGCCAUCCCGGCUUACCAACCCGAUGCAAACUGCGAAUACCGGAGAAUGUUAUCACGGGAGACACACGGCGGGUGCUAACGUCCGUCGUGAAGAGGGAAACAACCCAGACCGCCAGCUAAGGUCCCAAAGUCAUGGUUAAGUGGGAAACGAUGUGGGAAGGCCCAGACAGCCAGGAUGUUGGCUUAGAAGCAGCCAUCAUUUAAAGAAAGCGUAAUAGCUCACUGGUCGAGUCGGCCUGCGCGGAAGAUGUAACGGGGCUAAACCAUGCACCGAAGCUGCGGCAGCGACGCUGAUGCGUUGUUGGGUAGGGGAGCGUUCUGUAAGCCUGCGAAGGUGGCCUGUGAGGGUUGCUGGAGGUAUCAGAAGUGCGAAUGCUGACAUAAGUAACGAUAAAGCGGGUGAAAAGCCCGCUCGCCGGAAGACCAAGGGUUCCUGUCCAACGUUAAUCGGGGCAGGGUGAGUCGACCCCUAAGGCGAGGCCGAAAGGCGUAGUCGAUGGGAAACGGGUUAAUAUUCCCGUACUUGGUGUUACUGCGAAGGGGGGACGGAGAAGGCUAUGUUGGCCGGGCGACGGUUGUCCCGGUUUAAGCGUGUAGGUGUGUGUUCCAGGUAAAUCCGGUUCACUUUAACACUGAGGCGUGAUGACGAGGCACUACGGUGCUGAAGCAACAAAUGCCCUGCUUCCAGGAAAAGCCUCUAAGCAUCAGGUAACAUCAAAUCGUACCCCAAACCGACACAGGUGGUCAGGUAGAGAAUACCAAGGCGCUUGAGAGAACUCGGGUGAAGGAACUAGGCAAAAUGGUGCCGUAACUUCGGGAGAAGGCACGCUGACA